GUUGGGGUCACCCCAUUCCUUCCCCCCCCCCCUCCCCUAAAUCCCCCACCCCCGGUUCCUCUCCUGGGGUGAGCCACCUCCCCGCGCCGCCAGCCUUCGCUUCCUGCUCCUCCUCCUCCUCCUCCUCCCUGUCCCCAACCUGCGAGCCCUGGCGGGGCCCCAGCACCCAUCCCACAGCCGCGCGUCCCCAACCCCAUUUGUCCCAGUCCCAUUUCCCCCCCUCCCCAGGGCAGGAUCCAGCCCCUGACCCCCCCUUGUUCGAGCACGAGGGGGCCGUGCCCGUGCCUCAGUUUCCCCAGCGGUGAUGCCCCGGUUGGAUUUUUAGGGCACAACCCUUCACCGGGGGGGGGGGGGGGGUGACACAGCUCUCCUGGGGACAUUUAGGGACGAGUGCCAAGCUGCUGGAGCCCCGGCAGGAGGUGGGGACCUGUUCCGAGCCGUGCCGAGCCAAGAACACCCCGGUCCCUAUGGGGUCAGGGCAGGGCCUGGCACCCCGUGGCGGUGCCGUGGGGAGCGCAGCCACCCCAGGGGACCUGCGGUGGCACCGAGCCGAGGCUGCUGCCUGUUUGUGGGGAGGAAACGGCCCCAAAACCGGCUGUGCCGUGCCCCAGCCCUACAGCUCCGGCACGGGGCAGAGCCUACACGGCGCCACGGACGCCUCCCGCAGCGGGUACGGUGUCACCGGUGUCACCCACAUCCCCGUGCUUCGUGUCCCCGUGUCCCCACAUCCUCGUGUCCAUGAGUCCCUACAUCCCCAGAUCCCUGUGUCCCCAUGUCCCCACAUUGUUUGUCCCCAUGGCCCUGUGUCCUCAUAUCCCCAUCCUCCUGUGUCCCCAUAUCCCACAUCCCCAUGUCCCUGUGUCCCCACAUCCCCACAACCCCAUGGCCCUGUGUCCUCCGACCCCAUGCUCCUCAUGUCCCCCAGUCACCUCCCCAUGCCCCCAUUCUCCCCUGUCCCCACGUCCCCACAUGCUUGUGUCCCCAAAUCCCCAUGUCCCCACACCCCCCAGCCACAUCCCCAACCCCCCAUAACCCCCUCCCCAUGUCCCCACCCCUCCUCCCCGAGCCCCCCUGCCCCGUGCCCCCUCCCCGUUCCCCCCCGCUCCGCAUCCACCCAAGGCUGCGGGACCCCGGAGAUGGGGAAACUGAGGCACGGGGAGGGGGGGGGACACGGGGACACCCCCGGUGCUUCGGGGCGACCCGGGACCGGCAGGGGGCGCCGCCGUCCCCCCCACCCCGGGGCGGAUAAAGGCGGCGGCGGCGGCGGCGGCAGCGGCAUGGCCCGGGGGGGGCUCCGCCUGCUGCUCUGCUGCGCCGCUGCCCUGCUGGCUGCAGGGACGGGUCCUACCCCCACAAACACCAGCCCAGCACCGCACACCUCGGGAAUGACAGCGCCACGCUCCGGGGACAACUCAACCGGAGGUGUCACCGUGAGGACACCCAACGAGUCCUCCUCCAGCUCCUCCACGUCCACCAGCGUGGGGACAACCCUGGUGGGGACGUCGGCCACGUCCCCUCCACUCAGCCAGGGGAACGUGACAGCGCCCACCCCGCCACCCAGCCUGGAUCCCUCCACACCUGGAUCCCCAAAAUCAGCAGCACCCACAGAUCCAGCCAAGACACCAGGCUCCCCGGCAGUGACCCCAGCUCCGACCACGGAGGUGCUACCAAACACGGCCAUGGAGGCCGAGGCGAACACGUCCCCAUCCGGCUCCACAGCACCAAAUUCAUCCUUGUCGGGGCACCCCGACCUCGUUCCUACUCCCACCUCUCCUGUUGAGCCCACCGAGAGCCCUGCUCCCAUCACAGCACCAGCCCCCAGCCCCAGCAACGCCUCGGCCACUGGUCCCA
rnacentral:lncRNA from 1 species